GCCUGUUUUGGCAAUGGCAUCUGCCUUAAACCGCUCAAUUGAGCUGAUGAUACCUACUUAAAG
rnacentral:ncRNA from 1 species